GACGUAGGAGGCGAGCGUUAUCCGGAUUCACUGGGCGUAAAGCGCACGUAGGCGGCUGGACAAGUCGUGUGUUAAAGCCCCUGGCUCAACUGGGGGAGGUCAUGCGAGACUGUACGGCUGGAGGGCAACAGAGGCACGUGGAACUCCCGGUGUAGCGGUGGAAUGCGUAGAGAUCGGGAAGAACACCAGUGGCGAAGGCGACGUGCUGGGUUGCACCUGACGCUGAGAUGCGAAAGUGUGGGGAGCAAACGGG
rnacentral:rRNA from 1 species